rnacentral:rRNA from 1 species
GUUUGAUCCUGGCUCAGAACGAACGCUGGCGGCGCGCCUAACACAUGCAAGUCGAGCGAUGAAGACUCCUUCGGGAGUGUAUGAAGCGGCGGACGGGUGAGUAAUGCGUAGGCAACCUGCCUCAAAGUGGGGGACAACCUGUCGAAAGAUGGGCUAAUACCGCGUAAGCUGUAAGGGUAGUACCUUUCAGUAAAGGCUUCGGCCGCUUUGGGAUGGGCCUACGUCCGAUUAGAUAGUUGGUGGGGUAAUGGCCUACCAAGUCUGCGAUCGGUAACUGGUCUGAGAGGAUGAUCAGUCACACUGGAACUGAGACACGGUCCAGACUCCUACGGGAGGCAGCAGUGAGGAAUUUUGCGCAAUGGGCGAAAGCCUGACGCAGCGACGCCGCGUGGAGGAUGACGUCUUUCGGGAUGUAAACUCCUGUCAGUGGGAACGAUAAUGACGGUACCCACAGAGGAAGCACCGGCUAACUCCGUGCCAGCAGCCGCGGUAAGACGGAGGGUGCAAGCGUUGUUCGGAAUUACUGGGCGUAAAGCGUACGUAGGCGGUUGAUUAAGUCAAAUGUUAAAGCCCGGGGCUCAACCCCGAGGAUGCAUUUGAUACUGGUCGACUAGAGGGCGAUAGAGGAAAGCGGAAUUCCGAGUGUAGCGGUGAAAUGCGUAGAUAUUCGGAGGAACAUCGGUAGCGAAAGCGGCUUUCUGGGUCGCUCCUGACGCUGAGGUACGAAAGCGUGGGUAGCAAACGGGAUUAGAUACCCCGGUAGUCCACGCCGUAAACGAUGGAUACUAGGUGUAGCGGGUAUCGACCCCUGCUGUGCCGUAGCUAACGCGUUAAGUAUCCCGCCUGGGGAGUACGCACGCAAGUGUGAAACUCAAAGGAAUUGACGGGGGCCCGCACAAGCGGUGGAGGAUGUGGUUUAAUUCGACGCAACGCGAAGAACCUUACCAAGGCUUGACAUCCACAGAAUCUGGUAGAAAUAUCG